UCCCUGACAGUCCCGUGGUUAAGACUCUGCACUUCCAAUGCAGGAGACGAGGGUUCCAUCCCUGGUCAGGGAA
rnacentral:tRNA from 1 species